CCAUUAUUAGAGAUAAUGGUAGCUUUAUUUGGUGGGAUGAAUCAUCAUGAACUAGCAUUCAUGUUUCUUCAUUAUCUCUCUCAUUUCUAAACGAAAUUUCGAGAUUCCAAAUCCUCUGAACUCCUAGAACAUUUCUAAGUGUGGACUAAUUAGAGGCAUCACAAUUGGGGUGCUUUAAGGAUCUCAGAUCGUGGCAAAACAGAAGCUGUUCGUGCAGAGCUCUAUUUUCUGGACAGUGUUCGUAGCUUGCUGUUUUCAGUCGUUUUCUCCUACCUCACGAAGUCGUUUUCGAAACUGCAAGUGAGGUAAUUAAACUUCAAUCUUUCUUCUUGAUUUUCGUUUUUGAAUGAAGCCGAUCCGAGGUUUCUAGAGCUUCCGCCGUCCGUUUUAAUUUUACUGCACAAAAGUUGCGAUUUUAGGAACCUCAUGGACAAAUGUUGUCCUUCAUCUCAUUCACCCACAAACACUCACACUCCGAAAAAAUAGGUUUUUUUCAAACUUAAACCUUGAUUUACAGAGGGCUGGCCAGCUCUCUUUACCACAAAAAGCUUGAGUUUGUUAACUUGAGCGUCAGAGUGUGAACACCAGGGUACCCUGGCUUCACCUCUAAACUUUAUUUUACUAUUUUGCAGGCGUGAAGCUCAUUUUGAAGGACAUCUCUCUUGGUUCUGACCUUUCACCAUUGUUACCAUUCCCUCUCCCCUUUUCGCCUUCCCCGAACUUCAGAUACACCGCACCGCACACAACAAACCAGUGAGGUAUCUCGUCUCCCCCAAAAAUAAAAAUUCAUUGUUUUAGAUAGGUUUACCUUCUUCUACCCCCAAAAUCUAACGAAAACAAGAUGAAUAAGAAAGGAGUGUAUUAUGAAAUUUCUAAAAUGUAUUAUAUGUGAAUGGUCAUUACAAGAAAAAUGAUAUUUACCACGAAAUUCAGUUAAACUGAAUAUACCGAGUUUUAUUUUUUCUAGGCGAUGACACAUCUACUAAUGUAAGCAAUGGGUCAUCGCCGAAAGAGAGCUGGUGGGCCAUCGGCCCUUCAAUUUUGGUUGGAUUUUAAUGGAAAAUAUUAAUUCCGGUAGUUUUAAGAGAUAGAAUUUCAAGCGAAAUAUCGAUGUUGUUAUUGCAACAAACUCUAGCGCAAAAUAAAUUAUCUGUCUAAGGAUCGUGCUAAUAUAAAUUGAAGACAUGAAAAUACACCGAAAACAUGCCAUGUAAUGUCAAGACUAUGAACAUUCAACAAGCUACAUAUCCUCCUAUUCUCAGACUGGAAUAAGACUUUCUUUUGAAAAAUGAACUGAAAACCAUAAACCAGUAAUUCCAAGAUUCCUUACUUGUUCGUAUUUGGAAUCAUGUAGGACCAAUCGACGAUCCCCAAUUGAUGGAUAUAAUACAUCAUUUCUCCAAAAUCCAAUUGGUUUAUACCCUUCCUAAAAAGGGUCCAAAAGUCAUGUGUUUGGUCCAAAAACCCCUUUCAUGAUCCAUGUGCCAAAAGAGUGUCCCGACUCUUCUACGUGUAGUAGAGAGAGAGGCAAUCAUCGUGUAUUCCAAUCGUUCAAUUGGUCUCUUCUUCUGUUGUAAUUUGAGGAACUGGAGGUCCUUUCAUUUCAUGAAAAUAAUCACAAAAUCGUAAGGAUUUUUUUCCCAAUGCCACCCAAUAACAAAAUCCCUUCUGGUAGACAUUGUUCAUAUCUUCGCCCCCUAAAUAACAUUCCAAUGGGAAUAACCUUUCCUCCACAUCUCUCCAAGACUUAGUGCUAAAGUUGUAAACCUCAAUAAUAGGGAAGCCAUCAUUGAUCGAUAGCAUUCCUCUCUCGUCCUGCAAGGUUUGUGUCAUGACCAACUUGAAAUCAUUCGUCGUGGGAUCUAAUCCAUCUGCAAAAUUACUAACGAAAAUUCUUGUAUUGCAGGAAAGACUACCACUAAUGCCAUCUCUAGGUUAGGCGGCUUUGGAAGAAUUCUGUACUCAUUCAAGGAAACAUUCCAUAAAUUAAUUGGGUUAAGGUUCCAUUGUUUGGAAAGGCAAAAUAUGUCCUCACAAAGGCCAAAUGGAAUAUGAUCCCUCAUUUCUGCUUCAAGAUAUUGGGAACGCAAUUAUGUCAAUGUCUAAUCAGGCGCUACAACUAAAUCGUCAACAUAAUAUCCAAUGUAGAUCAUGAGACGCUUAUGGUCGUCUCUAUUGAGAUGCUUACAAAUGAAAUUAGGGUCUUUCACUAAACUAAACCAAGAUUUUGAAACACACAUAAAUCGCAUUAGUGAUUUAACGGGCAACCUUGAGAGAGUCUCAACCAGCAGAUCCUCAGUCAAUUCUCCAUAAUUAUAGCCUGUCAUCACCAUUAAA
rnacentral:lncRNA from 1 species